GAGCACCCCUGAGGACCUGAGGGGCAGACCCAGUGAAUCGGGCCAGGACCCUGUGGGGCCUUCCCAGGACAGACAGCCCACCCAGUCCCCCACCUGCCUUUUGUCCGUAGAAAAACUAGGCGCAGAAGAAACGGUCAGAGAAGUGAGAAAAAUGCAAAAAGGCACUGACACAAAAAUAGUGGUUUAUAGUCGUUCAGAUCAAGGCCCUUCAGGCCCCUCUCAAGGGCCACAGGUAAUGUUCUGAGCUGUGUCCUGUGAGCUGCCUUCCAGGUAAUGAAACCCCCGCCAGGUGGAGAAAGUUACCUACAUGGUGAUCAGACUAGCCGUGAUGCUGUCUAGUCGCUAAGUCACCUCCGACUUUGCAGACCCCGUGGAGACCCCAGGCUUCCCCGUUCUCUGUUCCCCAGAGUUUGCUCCGAUUCAUGUCCGUUGAAUUUGCGGUGCUGUCCAACCAUCUCGCCCUCUGUCAUCCCCUCCUCCCAAGGGCUUUUCCAAUGAGUCAGCUCUUCCCAUCAGGUGGCCAAGGUGUUGGGACUUCAGCUUCAACAUCAGUCAUGACGUGAAAGUCACUCAGUUGUGUCUGACACUUUGUGACCCCAUGGACUGUAUAGUACCUGGAAUUCUCCAGGCCAGGAUACUGGAGUGGGUACCUUUUCCCUUCUCCAGGGGAUCUUCCCAACCCAGGGAUCAAACCCAGGUCUCCCACAUUGCAGGCAGAUUCUCUACCAGCUGAGCCACAAGGGAAGCCCAAGAAUAUGGGAGUGGGUAGCCUGUCCCUUCUCCAGCGGAUCUUCCCGACCCAGGAAUAGAACCGGGGUCUCCUGCAUUGCAGGCGGAUUCUUUACCAACUGAGCUAUGAGGGAGGCACGGUACCACAAUUCUGAGAACUGGUCUCAAGUUUGGAACAAACUGACGCUGGAACUGAAGACUGACGACAUUGAACGAUCACGGUGAUGCUGGUCAGACCCCUGCUGACAGGUUUCGAGACGCCUGAGCUGUUUCUGCACGAGCCCGCCCCUCAGUCUAAAGCUCUGGAGCACUGACGGUCUUCCCUGUGGCUCAGAAGGCUCAAAGACUGGUGUCGUUAAGACUGUGAGUGGACGGGGUGUGGAGGUCAAGCUCCCCACGAGAGUGCGGACGGGCCAUGGAGGUGAGGGGGCUGGGCCUGGAGCUCAGACC
ensembl:lncRNA